CCCUCAGCUUCCUUGAUCCACGCUUCGUUCCUCCUGUCCCCUACCAAAAUUCUGAUUUAUCCAGCAGGGGGAUUUUCAGCUUGGGGUUGUGGACCUCCCAAUGGGUCUAUUGGCAGGCUUCAGAGGGUCUGUGAACUUGGAUGGAAAAAAAUAUCCUUAUUUUCAUGAACUUUUCACUGAAAUUUAGUCCCUUUAUUUGUUAGGAAGAGAACCUGAAGUCUGAAUGCUUGACUACCACAAGUUUUAUAUUUGCUUUGGAUCCCAGAUCAGUAAUUGGCAAAGGACCCUGGAAGUCAUCCGGUCUAAUUCCCUCAUUUUAUGGAUGAGGGAAAUGAUUUGCUCAAGGUCACCAAGAUAGGAAGCAUCCGAGAUGGGAUUUGAACUCUGGUCUUUUGACUCUAGAACAACAUUUUAGAGAUCUUGUGAGGAAAAGCCAAGACAAGCAAUUCAUUGAUUGCAAGUGCCAUGAAAAACAGCAGAGGAGGAAACGGGAGUGUAUUUCUUGGAAGUUUUCGCCUCCAAGAGGAAGCCUCACCUUUUCUCGAUUCACUUAAAGUGUUAGGUGAGAUCACCGGGCUGAACUCAUUCAGUUUCAUAAACCAGAGCAUCAACAAACAAAUUUUUUCUCCUACACGACCGUGGGCUUGUGGGUACCCGGCAUUCCUGGACCUCAGGCAAAAGCAAUUAACCAUAACCAAAUGACAAAAUGAUGGAGUCUGACAGUGCAUAGCACAUAGUAAGCUUUAAUAGUAAGUAAACUUAAUAAAUAUUUGUUGAUUGACUGACCGUUAAUCA
rnacentral:lncRNA from 1 species